AUUGCGAUAUGUAAUGUGAAUUGCAGAAUUCAGUGAAUCAUCGAAUCUUUGAACGCACCUUGCGCCCUUUGGUAUUCCGAAGGGCAUGCCUGUUUGAGUGUCAU
rnacentral:rRNA from 1 species